GACGUAGGGCGCGAGCGUUGUCCGGAUUUAUUGGGCGUAAAGAGCUCGUAGGCGGCUUGUCGCGUCGGCUGUGAAAACCCGCGGCUCAACUGUGGGCGGGCAGCUGAUACGGGCAGGCUGGAGUUCGGUAGGGGAGACUGGAAUUCCUGGUGUAGCGGUGAAAUGCGCAGAUAUCAGGAGGAACACCGGUGGCGAAGGCGGCGUCCUGGACCAACACUGACACUGAUGAGCGAAAGCCAGGGGAGCAAACGGG
rnacentral:rRNA from 1 species